AGCCAUAAGAUGCAUCCGUAGGAGACCCUCUGCUGCAACUAAAAUCACUCAUUCUGGGGGCAGCCCUCUGGCAUGUAAUGAGCAGUCCUAUGGAGAGGCCCAUGUGACAGUAGCCAUGCGAGUGACACUGGAAGUGAAACCUGCAGCUCCAGUCAAGCCUUUAGAAGACUGCAGCCCUGGCUGACAGCUUGACAGCAAACUCAUGAGAGACUCUCAGCUUGAACAACUCAGCUAAACUGUUCCUGGGUUCCUGGUCCUCAAAAACUGUACGAGAUGAAAAAAAAGUUUGUUUUUUUAAGCUGCCAA
rnacentral:lncRNA from 10 species